AAUAUUGGACAAUGGGGGCAACCCUGAUCCAGCCAUGCCGCGUGUGUGAAGAAGGUCUNCGGAAUNUNAAGCACUUUAAGUCGGGNGGAAGGGCUUUAGGUUAAUACCUUGAAGUUUUGACGUUACCAACAGAAUAAGCACCGGCUAACUCUGUGCCAUCAGCCGCGGUAAUACAUAGGGUGCAAGCGUUCAUCGGAAUUACUGGGCGGAAAGCGCGCGUAGGUGGUUCAGUAAGAUGGGUGUGAAAUCCCCGGGCUUAACCUAGGAACUGCUUUCAUAACUGCUGAGCUAGAGUACGGUAGAGGGUAGUGGAAUUUCCUGUGUAGCGGUGAAAUGCGUAGAUAUAGGAAGGAACAUCAGUGGCGAAGGCGACUACCUGGACUGAUACUGACACUGAGGUGCGAAAGCGUGGGGAGCAAACA
rnacentral:rRNA from 1 species